rnacentral:rRNA from 1 species
GAUGAACGCUGGCGGCGUGCUUAACACAUGCAAGUCGAACGAUGAAGCCCAGCUUGCUGGGUGGAUUAGUGGCGAACGGGUGAGUAACACGUGAGUAACCUGCCCUUAACUCUGGGAUAAGCCUGGGAAACUGGGUCUAAUACCGGAUAGGAGCGUCCACCGCAUGGUGGGUGUUGGAAAGAUUUAUCGGUUUUGGAUGGACUCGCGGCCUAUCAGCUUGUUGGUGAGGUAAUGGCUCACCAAGGCGACGACGGGUAGCCGGCCUGAGAGGGUGACCGGCCACACUGGGACUGAGAGACGGCCCAGACUCCUACGGGAGGCAGCAGUGGGGAAUAUUGCACAAUGGGCGCAAGCCUGAUGCAGCGGCGCCGCGUGAGGGAUGACGGCCUUCGGGUUAUAAACCUCUUUCAGUAGGGAAGAAGCGAAAGUGACGGUACCUGCAGAAGAAGCACCGGCUAACUACGUG